GCUUACACAUGCAAGUCGAACGAUGAACCUCCUUCGGGAGGGGAUUAGUGGCGAACGGGUGAGUAACACGUGGGCAAUCUGCCCUGCACUCUGGGACAAGCCCUGGAAACGGGGUCUAAUACCGGAUACUGACCCGCUUGGGCAUCCAAGCGGUUCGAAAGCUCCGGCGGUGCAGGAUGAGCCCGCGGCCUAUCAGCUUGUUGGUGAGGUAAUGGCUCACCAAGGCGACGACGGGUAGCCGGCCUGAGAGGGCGACCGGCCACACUGGGACUGAGACACGGCCCAGACUCCUACGGGAGGCAGCAGUGGGGAAUAUUGCACAAUGGGCGAAAGCCUGAUGCAGCGACGCCGCGUGAGGGAUGACGGCCUUCGGGUUGUAAACCUCUUUCAGCAGGGAAGAAGCGAAAGUGACGGUACCUGCAGAAGAAGCGCCGGCUAACUACGUGCCAGCAGCCGCGGUAAUACGUAGGGCGCGAGCGUUGUCCGGAAUUAUUGGGCGUAAAGAGCUCGUAGGCGGCUUGUCACGUCGGUUGUGAAAGCCCGGGGCUUAACCCCGGGUCUGCAGUCGAUACGGGCAGGCUAGAGUUCGGUAGGGGAGAUCGGAAUUCCUGGUGUAGCGGUGAAAUGCGCAGAUAUCAGGAGGAACACCGGUGGCGAAGGCGGAUCUCUGGGCCGAUACUGACGCUGAGGAGCGAAAGCGUGGGGAGCGAACAGGAUUAGAUACCCUGGUAGUCCACGCCGUAAACGGUGGGCACUAGGUGUGGGCGACAUUCCACGUCGUCCGUGCCGCAGCUAACGCAUUAAGUGCCCCGCCUGGGGAGUACGGCCCGCAAGGCUAAAACUCAAGGGAAUUGACGGGGCCCCGCACAAGCGGCGGAGCAUGUGGCUUAUUCCGACGCAACGCGAAAACUUACCCAGGU
rnacentral:rRNA from 1 species